rnacentral:lncRNA from 1 species
CAAUAGUUGGUGUACGAGCUUGGAUUACAUAUCAGUUUUCUCAUGUGUAACACGGUAAUGAUAAUAACUUAUAAACUGGUUGAAAGGAAUUCAUUUAUUUAAAAGUUUAUUUGACUUGGCUUAUGAGACACUCAAUAAACGUAAGUUAUUAUUGAAAGCUGUACAUUUGUCUGUGAGCACUUCAUCUUCAAUAUCUUGUCUGAGGAAUCCAGCGACCCUAUGAGAUAGCAACGUUUACAGAGGAGAAAGCUGAGGCUGAGAGUUACUUAUCCAAGGUCACGGGCCGGCGUGACUCCUAACCAGACUCGCACCCCCCCCCGCCCCGCGUCUCCUGGUGCCCCAUCUCCGGUUGCCGAAUGGAAACAGCCUCACUCCCGGUAAGGUAGAUUACCUGGACGGCCGGGAGCAGACUUAGGCCGGGGGCGACAGCGAUCCGGGGCGUCAGGCUCAGAGAGCUAAGAGCGCGGGUCAAUACCCGCAGGGCCAUGAUUGGCCAGGCUCGGUUGGGUUCAGCACACCACCAUCACCUUUAGCGAGGAACCCUGGCGCUACUGGAUGACGCUAACUGGUCCAAGUGCCGUCGCUCCAUCCUGACGUAAAAAGAAAAGAGGCGGGCGGAGAACCCAAGACCAAGUUGGACACACACCUCCUUUCCUCCCUGUGCCAGGUAGACCCAAUCCCCUGGCGGCUCAUAGGUCGCGUGACUGGGGAACAGGCCCCGCCCCUCAGAGCCGUCAAAACAAUUGCCUUGAGCGGCAGCCAUGAUGGAUUUAAAGGGGCAGUACCGGCAAGAGCUGUAGCCAGAUCAUCAGACUGCGGGGCAGAUCCUUCUGAGUCCCUGGCUGCUUGAACAGAGUUUCUUCCGGGCUCCUGCCUGAACGCCACAACCAAGGGUUAUAUACAG